CGGGGCUCCGCCGUGGAGGCGGAGCCGGCGGAGGCGGAGGAUGCCGGAGACGAGGGAGAAGAAGAAAAAGGGGGAGGAGAAAAUUGGGAGAGUGGAUAGGAAUGCGUACCUUGGGUUGCUGGCUGAUGGCGGCGGAGUGGAGCUGGAGCGCCGCCGUGACGGGAGCUCGCCGGCGAUGAGGGAGUUGGUGGUCAGGGCGGCUCCUGUUGCCGGAAGGGGGCGCUGAAGGUGGCCCUGUCAUCGUGGCGUUGAGGAAGACCUCCUCCCCGACAUGCAGGGAGGAGGGGAGCGUGGCGGACCUUCAUCGGCGAAGUCGCCGG
rnacentral:misc_RNA from 1 species